GAAUAACAACAGUCAUAAAAGAACUACAACUCUAGAACGUGAAGUUUAGCUCCACAAAGACAUGGUAGCCAAACAACAAAUCAUAUAAAGAAACAUAAAACUUACUAAGUUUGGUGGAAGAAAAGAUGAAACACGGCCUUUCCGGCGGCUCUGUUCUCUCUCCUUGUCAAAUCCCCUUCAAAAAGUGUGUUCAUGACCUAAAAGAAGUGUUUUUGGCAAAGAAGUCUGUUGGCCAAAAUUUUCCUUUUCCUCUUCCGAAACAGCUUCAGGAAUUGAUGCUAGCUUGAACGUUCUCAACAUCGGAUAUUGCGGCAUCCACCCUCUGUUCCCUCAACAUUGCGGUGCCCGGGUGCAUGCCUUCUCCCAACGUUAGUGCUAAGGGUGAACCAACUAGCCUUCUUUCCAAGGUUGGAUGCGAUGCAUCCACCCUCUUCUCCUUUAGUUGAAGCAUUUUUUCUUCAUAUUUUUGCACUUCAAAUAUCCUAAAUCAUC
rnacentral:lncRNA from 1 species